AGGCUUGACAAACUGUUUUCCUUGCCCUGUGAGCCGCCCGCGGAUAAAUCUUUGCACCAGGAGUCAGAAAACUUAAGAUUCCGGUCCCGGAUCUGCCACCAACAAGCUGGGCUGCUCCCUGAAAAAGUCGCAUCCCUCUGUAACAAAAGCGGUUACAGAGGAAAGUGUCGGACCCAGAGCGCGCGGGGAGCAGAGUGAGAACGGGAAGCCGAACCCCCGGGCUCCCUGCGAUCGCGUCCCGCGACGGCGGACGCGCUUUCCGCCAGCGCGGGGCCGACUGCAGCGGGGCUCUGAGGGUCCCGGCCCCAAAGCCGGCCCCCGGCCGAGCCCAAACCCCCGACUUACGUUUCUCUGCGCCCCGGAAUCUUCGAAGGCUGUCCCGGCCCGAGCUGCAGCAUGUCCCAACCGACCCCGGCACGGCCCGCUGCAACCCUUCCGGGCAGAACUGCACCUACGCCGGCCGUUUCCCCGCUCGUUGCCGGGGCAACGGGUCGGCGACGGAGCGCCGCGAGGGCCAAGCCUCCUGCAGCGCGAUUACUAGACGCGCAGAGAGGAAAAAGAAGGCUGUGUUUUUCUCUGGUGCCCCCGCGUGAUGGGCGGGAGCUCAAUCGCAAACGUCGCUAGUCCUGGAAACAGGCAAGGAAAGAGGAAAAGAAUCCAUUCACUACACCAAAUUUAGGAUAAAGAUUCUGCCGGUGGAGCGCUCCCGACCGCCUUUUCUUUGGUGCUGCCUGAUUCAAAUCACGCUCGGGCUGGUUUCCCACGGCUGAACUUCUGAAGACAGGCCUCACCACGUGCAAAUGGCACACUUUCUAGAAAACAGGUGGUGUAUGAGACCCUCGCUUUUAGGAUCAAAGUGUAAUUCUUGGACCAUGACAACAGCUGGGGAAGGGACGUCAGAGGUUCUUCCCUAGCUCCCUCUGGGGGCUGAGGCCCCAAAACACGUCUCUGUGACAAGUUCCCCCGCUGGAUCUGACGUCACCACAGCUGGUAAACCACCUGGGCCAGUGUGGUGGAGCUCACCCCAUCCAAAUUCCUCUGUUUAUACGGGGGGGCUGAGGCCCAGAGAUGGAGAGGUCCUGCCCAAAUGAGGUAAGUGGCAGAGCCAGUGUCUCUAGUGAGAGCAGCUGGUGGCCUCAGCAUGUGGAGGUGGAAACAGAAGCUGCAAAGAAGAGAAGACUUGGCCAGCACCUGCUUAGCACUUACUGAACAUCUACUGUCCUGUGUGACUUCCCCUUGUCCUCAGUGUCUCUAGGAAUUAUGGGUUAUCACAACUCCACUUUUCAGAUGGGGAAACUGAGGCUUAGUGUGGUUGGCCUGUAUGGUGUAAGUCAGACCUCACCACCCCAGAGCCCAUGCCGGUUCCAUCCUGCUGGGCUGUCAGAUCUGGGCACAGUCCACCGAGAUGGGGCCUCAAGCCAGUCCUGUGUUUUCCAUGCCUUUCCCAAACAUGGGCACCCACUGGCCAUGCCUGGAUGGCAGAGAGCCUCCACUUCCUAAGUUCCUAAGUUCAAGGUGACUGGUGGAUGGUGUCGGGCAGCUCCCUUCUGUGCUUAACCUUGAGGCUUCCUCAGCUCCCCCUCUCCUUCCACGUGAAGCCACACCAUGAACAAGCCGCUGGACCUGGCACGGUCUGGGCCCUGGCCAAUUCCACCAAGCACACUAGCCUUUUCUUUAAGUCUCACGGCCAGUGUUUCUGCUGUGCUGUUCCUCUGCCUAGAAGGCUGUUUCCCCUUCUAACUUCUCCUCAUCCUUCAGGUCUUGGUGUAAAUGCCCCUUCCUCUGAGAAGCCCUCCCCCAGCCCCGCUGACUGGGUCAGGUCACCUGGCCUCAGAACACACUGGAUUUUUCCUCCAUAGUGUUCACUGCAGUGUUAAAGAAAUAAUUUUAAAAAUUAACAUCCUGCCCACACUAGACCGUGAACUUCAUGAAAGCCAGGGACCUGGCUAUCUGGUUCCUGCUGUGUGUCCCAGCCUCUGCUCUACUGCUUGGUACACAGUGGGUGCUUAAUAAAUACCUAGAGAGUGGGUGAAUGAAACUAUGGCAAGUGGAGCACUAUGUCCUCAUAGUCGGGGGGGAGUGGGGACAUGGG